GACGAACCGUGCGAACGUUGUUCGGAAUCACUGGGCUUAAAGGGCGCGUAGGCGGAUUGCCAAGUCUGUGGUGAAAUCCUCUGGCUUAACCAGAGAACUGCCGUGGAUACUGGUGAUCUCGAGGGAGGUAGGGGUAUGUGGAACUAUUGGUGGAGCGGUGAAAUGCGUUGAUAUCAAUAGGAACUCCGGUGGCGAAGGCGACAUACUGGACCUCUUCUGACGCUGAGGCGCGAAAGCUAGGGGAGCGAACGGG
rnacentral:rRNA from 1 species